CUUUUCUAUACUAUACCGAAGAAGUCAAGUCUUGUCUGACUUUGGAAGCUAAGCAAGGUUGGGCCUGAUUAGUACUUGAAUGGGGGACCAGGGAUUGCCAUGUAGGGCUAGGAAAGA
rnacentral:rRNA from 1 species